GGGGGGCUGACCGAAUAUGUCAUGGAAGCCAUGGCUAGGGUUUGGUUCAAGCUUUCAAGCUCCAUAGCACAAUGUGCCGUACUGGUGUGUUUGGUUGGAAUCCACGUAUCCGUCAAAGCCCGAGUCUAUUAAUAGAGGUAAUUAAAUGAAAAGUUAUCGAACGAAAUGAAACAGUCGAGCCAUUGAAAGGAAACGUUAUUGUGGCAUAUAAUUUGAAAAUGUGAAUUAAAUAUGACCAUGUGAAUAGAAAGUAUGAACUAAUUGUUCCUGAAAUAAAUAAAGGCUCAAUGUAAUAGUAUAUGAUGUUACCAAAUGAAAGCCAAAUUGAAUUGUAAAUAUUGAGAAAUGAAUUAUUAUUGGUAUUGAUCUCAAAUAAAUGUAACCAAUGAUAUUUAAAUGAUAUAACGGGCAAAGUUUUGAAGUGAGAUAACAUGAGUUUGAAAUGAACUAUUCUUGGUAUGUACGCAUAAUUCAUGAAAAUGAUAAUACAUGAAAUAUCGAAAUAAUGAAAUGAAUGAUAUAUGCUUAUAGAGAAACGGCAAGAGAAUGAUAUGUAUCAUGACAUGUAAAUGUAUGAUUAUCUUUAAUAUGUUGAUACAAGAAAAAAAUUAUGUAUGAUGAGUUUAUAUGAAAUUUUAUAACACGGUUUAAUAUGUUUACAAGUGUAUGUGUUCUGGUAAUGCCUCGUACCCUGUUUACAAGUGUAUGUGUUCUGGUAAUGCCUCGUACCCUAUUUCAGCGUCGAAUACGGGUAAGGGGUGUUACACGAAGCCAAUCUUCUAGAAAUAGGAGAAAACCUUUCGAUUUUCGACGUUCUCUGUUGCGGCCUUGGCCGAACCCCUAGGGAUUCGACAGCCUUCGGACCGGAAGAGAUAAUGAUAAUGGUGUGAAGACCAAACAACAGGUGAUCGAUUUUUAUUUAUAACUUGUAAAAAAGAAAAAAAAAAGUAAAUCACCUUUAAAUUUUUGUAUUCUGUUUUUUAUUUGCUUUUUGUUAGUAUUUCUUCAUGUAUUUUCGUGUAUCUUUUUUUUUUGUUCGAUUUCUAUUUCAAAAAACCAACCCCUUACAAUCUUUUUUUAGGCUUUUUAUAGCCGAUUUGCACUAUUAUUUUUUCUAUUUUUUCUACUGUUCUUGUUGCCCUUGCGUGUUUGUCUGUCUUUUUUCUUUUUUGCAUGUGGUGGUUGACGAUGACGGUGGCAGACCUUGGGGCGCAAGCAUGCUGACGUGGCAUUUUGAAAUAGUUUGGGCCACUGGGACUCUAGGUUUUUUAUUUAUUUGGGCUCUUUUGGGCUUGUAAAUUUGGGCCUGAUGUAAAUGGACUGUUUAUUUUAUUGGACUUUAAUAUUUUUUCAUUUGGUUUAUGGUGGGCCGGAUAGAAUUGGGCAUUUACAAUAUAUGUUGUAGGUAAUGGCAAUGAAUAACCUAUUUUAAAUUUCGGAUUAAUGAAUCAGAUGCGUUUUCAGA